AUUGAACGCUGGCGGCAUGCUUUACACAUGCAAGUCGAACGGCAGCGCGGGCUUCGGCCUGGCGGCGAGUGGCGAACGGGUGAGUAAUACAUCGGAACGUGCCCAGUAGUGGGGGAUAGCUCGGCGAAAGCCGGAUUAAUACCGCAUACGACCUGAGGGUGAAAGCGGGGGAUCUUCGGACCUCGCGCUAUUGGAGCGGCCGAUGGCAGAUUAGCUAGUUGGUGGGGUAAAGGCCUACCAAGGCGACGAUCUGUAGCUGGUCUGAGAGGACGACCAGCCACACUGGGACUGAGACACGGCCCAGACUCCUACGGGAGGCAGCAGUGGGGAAUUUUGGACAAUGGGCGAAAGCCUGAUCCAGCAAUGCCGCGUGUGUGAUGAAGGCCUUCGGGUUGUAAAGAACUUUUGGCGGGAACGAAAAGGACUGUGCCAAUACCACGGUUCGAUGACGGUACCCGCAGAAUAAGCACCGGCUAACUACGUG
rnacentral:rRNA from 1 species